rnacentral:rRNA from 1 species
UACGGGGGGGGCAAGCGUUGUUCGGAAUUACUGGGCGUAAAGGGCUCGUAGGCGGCCAACUAAGUCAGACGUGAAAUCCCCAGGCUCAACCUGGGAACUGCGUCUGAUACUGGAUGGCUUGAAUCCGGGAGAGGGAUGCAGAAUUCCAGGUGUAGCGGUGAAAUGCGUAGAUAUCUGGAGGAACACCAAUGGCGAAGGCAGCUCGCUGGAACGGUACUGACGCUGUGGCGCGAAAGCGUGGGGAGCAAACAGG